ACAUGUUCCAUUCCUGAUGCCUUGCCGUCGCAUCUCAGUUCACAGAACAAAAACUGUACAUCCGGUUCUACAAUAGAAUAUAAUUCGACAUGUUCCUUUGCCUGUGAAACUGGAUACAACAUUUCAGAUUCUACGUCGAUAUCUUGUACAGAAAGUGGAGCGUUGUCAACAGACCUUCCAAAUUGCACAGUUGUGACGUGUUCCAUUCCUGACGACUUCCCGCCACAUGUGAUCCCGAUGAACAAUGAAUGUUCGUCUGGAUCUAUCGUGGAAUAUAAUACAAUAUGUUCCUUUGCCUGUGAUACUGGAUACAGAAGUUCAGAUUCUACGUCGAUAUCUUGUACAGAAAAUGGAGCGUUGUCAACAGACCUUCCAAAUUGCACAGUUGUGACGUGUUCCAUUCCUGAUUCCUUCCCACCAUAUGUGAGCCCAAUUAACAAUGACUGUACAUCCGGUUCUACAAUAGAAUAUGAUUCGAUAUGUUCCUUUGCCUGUGAUACUGGAUACAGAAGUUCAGAUUCUAUGUCGAUAUCUUGUACAGAAAGCGGAGCUCUAUCCGCUGAUCUCCCUAACU